GCUGGGCAUGGUGGCCCAUGCCUGUAAUCCCAGCACUUUGGGAGGCCGAGGCAGGUGGAUCACCUGAGGUCAGGAGUUCAAGACCAGCCUGGCCAACAUGGUGAAACCUUGUCUCUA
ensembl:misc_RNA Metazoa_SRP Metazoan signal recognition particle RNA